rnacentral:rRNA from 1 species
CAAGUCGACGGGAAUCUUCGGAUUCUAGUGGCGGACGGGUGAGUAACGCGUAAGAAUCUAACUUCAGGACGGGGACAACAGUUGGAAACGACUGCUAAUACCCGAUGUGCCGCAAGGUGAAAACUAAUUGGCCUGAAGAAGAGCUUGCGUCUGAUUAGCUAGUUGGUGGGGUAAGAGCCUACCAAGGCGACGAUCAGUAGCUGGUCUGAGAGGAUGAGCAGCCACACUGGGACUGAGACACGGCCCAGACUCCUACGGGAGGCAGCAGUGGGGAAUUUUCCGCAAUGGGCGAAAGCCUGACGGAGCAACGCCGCGUGAGGGAGGAAGGUCUUUGGAUUGUAAACCUCUUUUCUCAAGGAAGAAGUUCUGACGGUACUUGAGGAAUCAGCCUCGGCUAACUCCGUGCCAGCAGCCGCGGUAAUACGGGGGAGGCAAGCGUUAUCCGGAAUUAUUGGGCGUAAGGCGUCCGCAGGUGGUCAGCCAAGUCUGCCGUCAAAUCAGGUUGCUUAACGACCUAAAGGCGGUGGAAACUGGCAGACUAGAGAGCAGUAGGGGUAGCAGGAAUUCCCAGUGUAGCGGUGAAAUGCGUAGAGAUUGGGAAGAACAUCGGUGGCGAAAGCGUGCUACUGGGCUGUAUCUGACACUCAGGGACGAAAGCUAGGGGAGCGAAAGGGAUUAGAUACCCCUGUAGUCCUAGCCGUAAACGAUGGAUACUAGGCGUGGCUUGUAUCGACCCGAGCCGUGCCGAAGCUAACGCGUUAAGUAUCCCGCCUGGGGAGUACGCACGCAAGUGUGAAACUCAAAGGAAUUGACGG